GAUUACCUCAGUAACGGCGAGUGAAGCGGUAACAGCUCAAAUUUGAAAUCUGGCUCUUUCAGGGUCCGAGUUGUAAUUUGUAGAAGAUGCUUUGGGUGUGGCUCCGGUCUAAGUUCCUUGGAACAGGACGUCAUAGAGGGUGAGAAUCCCGUACGUGACUGGUUGCCUUCGCCCGUGUAAAGCUCUUUCGACGAGUCGAGUUGUUUGGGAAUGCAGCUCAAAAUGGGUGGUAAAUUUCAUCUAAAGCUAAAUAUUGGCCAGAGACCGAUAGCGCACAAGUAGAGUGAUCGAAAGAUGAAAAGCACUUUGGAAAGAGAGUUAAACAGUACGUGAAAUUGUUGAAAGGGAAGCGCUUGCAACCAGACUUGCAUGUGGUUGAUCAUCCGAGGUUUUCCCCGGUGCACUCGAUCAUAUUCAGGCCAGCAUCGGUUUGGGUGGUUGGAUAAAGGCCUUGGGAAUGUGGCUCCUCUCGGGGAGUGUUAUAGCCCUCGGUGCAAUGCAGCCUAUCCGGACCGAGGACCGCGCUUCGGCUAGGAUGCUGGCGUAAUGGUUGUAAGCGACCCGUCUUGAAACACGGACCAAGGAGUCUAACAUCUAUGCGAGUGUUUGGGUGUCAAACCCAUACGCGUAAUGAAAGUGAACGGAGGUGAGAACCCUUAAGGGUGCAUCAUCGACCGAUCCUGAUGUCUUCGGAUGGAUUUGAGUAAGAGCAUAGCUGUUGGGACCCGAAAGAUGGUGAACUAUGCCUGAAUAGGGUGAAGCCAGAGGAAACUCUGGUGGAGGCUCGCAGCGGUUCUGACGUGCAAAUCGAUCGUCAAAUUUGGGUAUAGGGGCGAAAGACUAAUCGAACCAUCCG
rnacentral:rRNA from 1 species